rnacentral:lncRNA from 1 species
CCAGGAGGUAUGACGCCUGGAAUUUGCAUAAUUGAAGGGUAGGAUGAAAGCAGAGUAGAGGAAGAGAGUGACGCAGUACGGUUCUUGGAACUUUUAUUCCUGCAGAUCAAUAAACCCCUUACGAUCUACAUCUAAGAAACGCAUGCAGAGCCUUAAAGAGGCACUGGACUCAGAGCAAGAAGAUCCAAAUGAGAGACUUGACCUGAUUUGCCACUUACCAGCCACGUGAGCCUGGAUUUGUCAUUUCACUUUGAGCC